AAAUUCUUAAUAAUAAAAUUAUUUUAUUAAAAUUAUUUUGAAUAUUUGAUCCUUUCGUACUAAAAUAUUCUAAUUCUAAAGAUAGAAACCCACCUGGCUCACCCCGGUUUGAACUCAGAUCAUGUAAGAUUUUAAUGAUUGAACAGAUCAAAAUUUUAAACUUUUGCAUUUAAAUUUUAUCUUAAUCCAACAUCGAGGUCGCAAUCUCUUUUUUUUAUUUGUACUAAAAAAAAAAAUUACGCUGUUAUCCCUAAGGUAAUUUUUUCUUUUAAUCAUUAUUAAUGGAUCAAUUUUUCACUUAUUAAUGUUUAUUUUUAAAAAAAGUUAUUUUAAUUUUUUUAUCACCCCAAUAUAAUAAUUAAAUUAUUUUUAAUUAUAAAUUAUAUAAAAAAUCUUAAAUAAUUUAAUUAUAAAACUCUAUAGGGUCUUCUCGUCUUUUAAAUUUAUUUUAGCUUUUUUACUAAAAAAUUAAAUUCUAUUUUUAAAUAAAAGACAGUUUAUAUUUCAUUAAAUCUUUCAUACAAGUCUUCAAUUAAAAGACUAAUGAUUAUGCUACCUUUGUACAGUCAAUAUACUGCAGCCCUUUAAUUUUCAUCAGUGGGCAAAUUAAACUUUAAAUUAUUUUCAAAAAGACAUGUUUUUGAUAAACAAGUGAAUAUAAAUUUUUGCCGAAUUCCUUUUUUUAAAAUUAUAAUUUUUUUUUAUUAAAUUAUAUAUUAUUUUAUACUAAUUUUAUCAUUAUUUCUAAUUUUAUUUUAUUUAAAAAUUUAUUUUUUUAAAAAAUUAACUAUUAAAUUAUAUCUUAACUUUAAAUUUAAUUUUUGAUAAAAAAUUAUAAUUUAUUAACAAUAUAAAUACUAAAAUUUUUAUUUAAAUUGGAAUAAUUUCAUAAAAAUUUAUUUUAGUACUUACUACUACAACUUUAAAACAUUUUUUAUUAAAAUAUUUUCAAAUAAAAAAUCUUAAUUUUAAUAUUCAAAAUUAAAUUUUUUUCUAAAAAAACUAGAUAUAGUUAAAAAUGAUUAAAAUUUAAUUUCAAAUUAAUUAUUUAAAAAACUUAUCUACAUUGAACUUUUUUAAAUAAUUUUAUCUUUCAAAUUCAAAGUAAUUAGUUUCAUAGAAUAUAUUAUUAAUAAAGUCUUUCACUCAACAUUUAUUUGUAUACUACUAUUAUAAUAAUAUCAUUUUCAAAUAUCCUAUAUUUCUUAUUCAUCAUUAAUAAUAAUUCUUUCUAUAAAAAAAUUUAUAAAAAACUCAAACCCCAUUUUUAUUAUAAAAAUUAUUUUAUUAGUUUUCAAUUUUUAAUUUAUACCCU
rnacentral:rRNA from 1 species